GCGAACGGGUACAUGACUCAAACAUGUCCUUGCUCUCCUACCUGCAUCCCCCUGGUUCUCUUUAUAAAAGGAUUCAGCAGCAGACAGUGUCGCCAGGCAUUUUCUUAUAACCCCUGCUGAAGACUCAGUAAGAUCCUCUGUACUGCAAAAUACCAUUUGCGCUGUGGGGGUACAGUUGUGGUGAAAAGGAGAUUUGGGGGCAUUUGUGUUUCACAGAAGUCCCACGGUGCUAACUUUGCACUGGGUACAGCAGGGAAGGACCAAAGGAGAGUGAACAGUCCCCACACCUUUGCUCUCUAGGUUUUCCCGAAUACAAGAUACCUUUCUGCACCACAAACUGGGACAGCAGUUACUGGGGCACCACCUCCGGAACCCAUAAUCUAUGCACGGGCUGCUGGGGGGAUCAAAUUCCAUCACAGCAGCCUCCAGGGGGAUCUCAGAAAAGGCUGAUUUCCUUAGGUGGCUCUUGCAAAAGCUGCACCAUUCUGCACAUUUUUUGAUGGCAAUGUAGGAUGCCAGAAAACCCUGUGCCACAGUCAUACAGCCGAUUUUCCCUUACUCCAGCGCAUUCUGUGAUUUUCCGUGUCCGAGCUGAUUUGGAACGUGAGUAGGUUUUUAGCAGAAAACCAGAUAGAGAUAGGAUAUACACAGCUAAUUGAUGACAUAUCUGCACUGAACAGCCUCGUUUUAAACUCGUAACGAUGUAGUCCGUGCUGCCACCUACGUCUUCUGAUUCAGGUUUCUUGUGUACUGCAACUUUGAUUCGUAGGCAUCCUUUGCAGGAGGCAGCUCACAUUUUGUGAGGCUCCACGAGGGACCACUAACAGGCAGCUCUGGCUGCGCUAGGGAAUGAAGCAAAAGGUUUCUCAGCGGCUCAGCCACUUGUUUGGUUGCAGUGAGGAUGCCUAGAUGCAGAUUAGGAGCCAGCAGUCACAUCAGUGAAAUCUUUAUUGAUUUCAGUGUCCGCUGAUGCAGUUCAUAAUGCAAUCAAGCCUAAUCCCACUGUGAAGACAUUAACCCAAACUUAACUAAGGCCAAAAUCACUCUGGCUACAGGAGAAACCUUGUUUUCAUUGUUUGGCUGCUAGAGGGAACAUGAUGUUUCAUGGACUCAGGACCAAGACUGGGCAUGGACAAAGAGGAGAUUUUGCAGGGAUUGGGAAGAUUUUGCAAAUAAACAUUAAAAUUAAAAAAAAAACAAAGUUCAUCCAGGCAUGAAGUCCAGCAGAAAUGUAGGAGAGAAAUGGACAGCACUGUCUGUUAAGGACUGUGUAAGCAAAAAUGGCAAAAUGAUGGUCUGAAUAAGUACAUUACAGUAAUGAUGUUCUAUACAUGAAUAUCCUACAUAAAGUUAUAUGGGGUCAGUCUUUGGGGUUCCCCUGUAUAGCAGAGGAUCCUGAGCCUGAAAAAGGGAAGCAGAUUUUGUAAGGGAUUUGCCUACCAUGGAGUGACUCUGGAUUGCAGAUUUUAAGCAUUACUAAAUUGGGGAAUAAAUUGUUGCUACUGCUGUUACA